rnacentral:rRNA from 1 species
GAUGAACGCUAGCGGCAGGCCUAAUACAUGCAAGUCGAACGGGAUCCAGAUCAAAGCUUGCUUUGGUCUGGUGAGAGUGGCGCACGGGUGCGUAACGCGUGAGCAACCUACCCUUGUCAGGGGGAUAGCCCGGCGAAAGUCGGAUUAAUACCGCAUGACAUCAUUGAGAGGCAUCUUUCGAUGAUCAAAGAUUUAUCGGACAAGGAUGGGCUCGCGUGUCAUUAGCUAGUUGGUAAGGUAACGGCUUACCAAGGCUGCGAUGUCUAGGGGCCCUGAGAGGAGAAUCCCCCACACUGGUACUGAGACACGGACCAGACUCCUACGGGAGGCAGCAGUAAGGAAUAUUGGUCAAUGGACGGAAGUCUGAACCAGCCAUGCCGCGUGCAGGAAGACGGCCCUAUGGGUUGUAAACUGCUUUUAUACGGGAACAAACGUCGGUACGUGUACCGGUCUGAGUGUACCGUAAGAAUAAGGAUCGGCUAACUCCGU